rnacentral:rRNA from 1 species
UACGUAGGCAGCAAACGUUGUUCGGAAUUACUGGGCGUAAAGAGUGUGUAGGCGGCUUUGUAAGUUCUGUGUGAAAUCUCCCGGCUCAACUGGGAGGGUGCGCCGAAUACUGCAAGGCUUGAGUACUGGAGAGGAUAGCGGAAUUCCUGGUGUAGCGGUGAAAUGCGCAGAUAUCGAGAAGAACGCUCGUGGCGAAAGCGAGAUCCUGGGCAGCCUCUGACGCUGAGGCACGAAGGCCAGGGGAGCAAACGGG